ensembl:rRNA 5S_rRNA 5S ribosomal RNA
GUUUAUGGCCAUACCAGCCUGAACAUGCCCAAUCUUACCUGAUUUCGGAAGCUAGGCAGGGUAAGGCGUGGUAGGCUUUAAAAA